rnacentral:rRNA from 1 species
GCAUAUCAAUAAGCGGAGGAAAAGAAACUAACAAGGAUUCCCUUAGUAACGGCGAGUGAAGAGGGAAGAGCUCAAAUUUUAAAUCUAUCAUGUUGUACAUGAUCGAGUUGUAAUUUGAAGAAGCGUUUUCUCGUACUUUAUGAUCAGUAUAAGUUCUCUUGGAACAGGACAUCAUAGAGGGUGAUAAUCCCGUCUGUUACUGAUUGUGAGGUUCGUUUAUGAUACGCUUUCAAAGAGUCGAGUUGUUUGGGAUUGCAGCUCCAAAUGGGUGGUAAACAUCACCUAAGGCUAAAUAUUUGCGAGAGACCGAUAGCGAACAAGUACCGUGAGGGAAAGAUGAAAAGAACUUUGAAAAGAGAGUUAAAAAGUAUGUGAAAUUGUUGAAAGGGAAACGAUUGAAGUCAGUCGUGCAGUCAUCAAUUCAGCGGUUAACAUUUUAUGUUUCCGUGUAAUUUGGUGUCUGUUGGUUAGCAUCAAUUUUGAUUGUUAUAAAAAGGUUAAGGGGAUGUGGCUCCUUCGGGAGUGUUAUAACCCUUAGCGUAGUGUGACGAUUAGGAUUGAGGUUUGCAACGAAUACCUUUUAGGGCAGUUUCACCUGGCCUCUCGUGGAAUUAUAGAUAGUUAAGAGCAUGCUCUUACUGUUUAUGAUUCUACGAAAAGGUUGGAGUGUAAAACUAAUUCGUUAAGGAUGUUGACGUA